GGGUGAUUAGUUUAAAGAUAAAACAUUUGAUUUCGGCUCAAAUAUUCGUGGUUUAACCCCACGAUCAACCUG
rnacentral:tRNA from 1 species